rnacentral:rRNA from 1 species
UCCUACGGGAGGCAGCAGGGGGGAAUAUUGCACAAUGGGCGAAAGCCUGAUGCAGCAACGCCGCGUGAGUGAUGAAGGCCUUCGGGUCGUAAAACUCUGUCCUCAAGGAAGAUAAUGACGGUACUUGGUGAGGAAGACCCGGCUAACUACGGGCAAGCAGCCGCGGUAAUACGUAGGGGCUUAGCUUUAUCCGGAUUUACUGGGCGUAGAGGGUGCGUAGGCGGUCUUUCAAGUCAGGAGUGCAAGGCUACGGCUCAACCGUAGUAAUCUCUUGAAACUGGGAGACUUGAGUGCAGGAGUGGGGAGUGGAAUUCCUAGUGUAGCGGUGAAAUGCGUAGAUAUUAGUAGGCACACCAGUUGCGAAGGCGGAUCUCUGGACUGU